UACGUAGGGGGCAAGCGUUGUCCGGAUUUAUUGGGCGUAAAGAGCGUGUAGGCGGCUAGGUAGGUCCGUUGUGAAAACUCGAGGCUCAACCUCGAGACGCCGGUGGAAACCAUCUAGCUAGAGUCCGGAAGAGGAGAGUGGAAUUCCUGGUGUAGCGGUGAAAUGCGCAGAUAUCAGGAAGAACACCCGUGGCGAAGGCGGCUCUCUGGGACGGUACUGACGCUGAGGUGCGAAAGCGUGGGGAGCAAACAGG
rnacentral:rRNA from 1 species